UACGGAGGGUGCAAGCGUUAUCCGGAUUCACUGGGUUUAAAGGGUGCGUAGGCGGACUUUUAAGUCAGUGGUGAAAUCCUGCAGCUUAACUGCAGAACUGCCAUUGAUACUAUUAGUCUUGAAUGUCGUGGAGGUCAGCGGAAUAUGUCAUGUAGCGGUGAAAUGCUUAGAUAUGACAUAGAACACCUAUUGCGAAGGCAGCUGACUACGCGAAAUAUUGACGCUGAGGCACGAAAGCGUGGGGAUCAAACAGG
rnacentral:rRNA from 1 species